rnacentral:rRNA from 1 species
UACGUAGGGUGCGAGCGUUAAUCGGAAUUACUGGGCGUAAAGAGCUCGUAGGCGGUCUGUCGCGUCUGCUGUGAAAACUCGGGGCUUAACCCCGGGCCUGCAGUGGGUACGGGCAGACUAGAGUGCGGUAGGGGAGACUGGAAUUCCUGGUGUAGCGGUGAAAUGCGCAGAUAUCAGGAGGAACACCGGUGGCGAAGGCGGGUCUCUGGGCAGUAACUGACGCUGAGGAGCGAAAGCGUGGGGAGCAAACAGG